rnacentral:rRNA from 1 species
GAGAGGGUUAACCGCAUGGAUGGCAUGGCUUGUUAGUUAGGUUAGUCCCUGGUUUAGGUGCUCACCUUGAUGAUUACUUGUUGGAUUAGGUGCUUACGUUGAGGAUUGCUUCCUAGAUUAUAUCAGUCUGAAGUGUGUCACAUAUUAAUUGGUCUGGGUGCUUGGCUUAAGGAUUGACUUUUGAACUGGUUAGUCUCUGAUUUGGUUCUUUGGCUUUAGGAUUCACUGCACGCUGAAUUAUGUAAGGCUAAAAUGUGUCCCAAAUUUGUUGGUUCGAGUGUUUGGCUUGAGGGUUGAUUGUUGGUCUGGGUUGGUGUCUGAUUUAGUUCUUUAGCUUAAGGAUUGAUUGCAUGGCUGGUUAGUAUAAUGAAGAUUAAUUGUUGGUCUGGGUUAGUCUCUGAUUUCGUUCUUUGCCUCAAG